rnacentral:rRNA from 1 species
CCUACGGGAGGCAGCAGUGAGGAAUAUUGGUCAAUGGACGCAAGUCUGAACCAGCCAUGCCGCGUGCAGGAAGACGGCUCUAUGAGUUGUAAACUUCUUUUGUACGAGGGUAAAUCCCGAUACGUGUAUCUGUUUGAAAGUAUCGUACGAAUAAGGAUCGGCUAACUCCGUGCCAGCAGCCGCGGUAAUACGGAGGAUUCAAGCGUUAUCCGGAUUUAUUGGGUUUAAAGGGAGCGUAGGCGGGUCUAUAAGUUAGGGGUGAAAUCCCGGGGCUCAACUCCGGCACUGCCUCUGAUACUGUCAGGCUAGAGUUUAGUUGCGGUAGGCGGAAUGUAUGGUGUAGCGGUGAAAUGCAUAGAGAUCAUACAGAACACCGAUUGCGAAGGCAGCUUACCAAACUACGACUGACGUUGAGGCACGAAAGCGUGGGGAGCAAACAGGAUUAGAUACCCGAGUAGUC